rnacentral:ncRNA from 1 species
ACAAAUUCGUUGAUGAGAAAGAGUAGUGUUUCAUUUUGUUCUACAGAGAGCCGACAUUUGGUGGAAGUCGGUGUGCAGGUGUUACAUGAAAAUCCUCUCUGAGAAGAUUGGCUGAAUAGAGUAAGCCAAUCCGGGUGUCUACCGUUAAAAAGAACACGUAUGAUUGUACGUUGCUGAGCGCUAUUGACCAUUGUGUCAAUAGAAUUAGGGUGGUAUUCGCGGUUAACCCCGUCCCUUUC